CCUACGGGUGGCAGCAGUGGGGAAUAUUGGGCAAUGGGCGCAAGCCUGACCCAGCAACGCCGCGUGAAGGAAGAAGGCUUUCGGGUUGUAAACUUCUUUUAAGAGGGAAGAGCAGAAGACGGUACCUCUUGAAUAAGCUCCGGCUAACUACGUGCCAGCAGCCGCGGUAAUACGUAGGGAGCGAGCGUUGUCCGGAUUUACUGGGUGUAAAGGGCGUGCAGCCGGGAGUACAAGUCAGAUGUGAAAUCCCGCGGCUUAACCAUGGAACUGCUUUGGAAACUGUGCAGCUGGAGUGCAGGAGAGGUAAGCGGAAUUCCUAGUGUAGCGGUGAAAUGCGUAGAUAUUAGGAGGAACACCAGUGGCGAAGGCGGCUUACUGGACUGUAACUGACGUUGAGGCUCGAAAGCGUGGGGAGCAAACAGGAUUAGAUACCCCAGUAGUC
rnacentral:rRNA from 1 species